rnacentral:rRNA from 1 species
AUUGAACGCUGGCGGCAGGCCUAACACAUGCAAGUCGAACGGAUCCUUCGGGAUUAGUGGCGGACGGGUGAGUAACACGUGGGAACGUGCCCUUUGGUUCGGAACAACUCAGGGAAACUUGAGCUAAUACCGGAUGUGCCCUUCGGGGGAAAGAUUUAUCGCCAUUGGAGCGGCCCGCGUCUGAUUAGCUAGUUGGUGAGGUAAAGGCUCACCAAGGCGACGAUCAGUAGCUGGUCUGAGAGGAUGAUCAGCCACAUUGGGACUGAGACACGGCCCAAACUCCUACGGGAGGCAGCAGUGGGGAAUCUUGCGCAAUGGGCGAAAGCCUGACGCAGCCAUGCCGCGUGAAUGAUGGAGGUCUUAGGAUUGUAAAAUUCUUUCACCGGGGACGAUAAUGACGGUACCCGGAGAAGAAGCCCCGGCUAACUUCGUGCCAGCCGCCGCCGUAACAC